UGAAUAGAAUGCUGGUUGCUGGAACAUAAUCAACCCGAGGAGGAAAGUAGAUGAUGUCAUUGAUCAAGUUGAGACGUUCCCUCAAUUCUUUUUCAAUCUCAUGAAGCUUCUGGAUGUCUAGCUAGCAGCAAACCCGAACAUUAUUCAGGGGAACUUCAUCAUUGCCAAAAUCCAAUGGAGAUAUCCAUCUCUCCCUGUCACAGAAGGAGAAGCUUGGGAUUCAAUAAUCUCUUCUUU
rnacentral:lncRNA from 1 species